rnacentral:rRNA from 1 species
AGUGAACGCUGGCGGCGUGCCUAAUACAAGCAAGUCGAACGGAGUGGCGCACGGGUGAGUAAUGUAUAGCUAAUCUGCUCUACAAUAGAGGACAACAGUUGGAAAAGACUGCUAAUACUCUAUAGUGUCGGUGGAGGCUAUAUUGUAUCAGCUAGGUGGUGAGGUAAAGGCUCACCAAGGGUAUGACGCAUAACUGGUCUGAGAGGAUGAUCAGUCACACGGUAACUGAGUCACGGUUGAGACUCCUACGGGAGGGAGCAGUAGGGAAGAGUGGCCAAGGGGGGAAACCCUGAAGGAGCAUCGGCGCGUGGAGGACGACACUUGUCGGAGCGUAAACUCCUUUUGAUAGGGAAGCGGUACCUAACGAAUAAGCACCGGCUAACUCCGUGCCAGCAGCCGCGGUAAUAC